AUCUAUGAUUUAAAUUGACUUUUAAAUUAGUUCCAUUUACUUUUCUAAGUUAUUUAUCUACUUUUUAAAAUGUGAUUCAACUUGAGAUUUUGUUUAUGAGAUUUACUUUUAAAUUAGUUUCAUUUACUUUUCUUAGUUAUUUGAGGUUUUGUUGGACUUAGUGAUUUAUCUAACUCAAAAGUAAAGCAAAAACUAAAAAAAGUAAAUAGAAAUGAUCCAAAGUAAACAAAAUAUGGUCAAGUUCUGGUUGGUAGGUACCGGAGGUCAUAUGAAGCAAGUUGAUCAGGUUGACUUUGUGUUAUUGGUUUCUAUUUCAGUCGGGCUUCUUGCUGGUUGUGGUUGAUGACAGUUGCUAGAAAUGGUAUCCUCUAUGAGCCUGGUGAACACCCUUAUCACGUUGUCGUCAUCAAGUAUGUUCCAUAUGUGGGAGACAGAGGCAUGGAUGACUAUACAUCCGAGAUAUUCAUGGGUGGUAAGAACACCAUUGUGUUUCACAAAACUUGUGAGGACUCGCUUUUGCCUACUCCAAUCAUCCUUGACUUGGUCCUCCUCGCUGAGCUUAGCACCCGCAUCCAGUUCAAGGCUGAAAUAGAGGAAACUCUCACUCCUCCAUCCAGUUGCUACCAUACUCAGUUACGUCACUAAAGCACCUCUUAAAAGAAAUGACGAAAGGCUUGCCAAAAGGAUGGGAACCGCAUUUAGGAACAUGCUUUCCUAUUUAGGACGAGGGAGAUGUUGUUGAUGAGGAUUACUACGGAUCGGGAGGAGGUUAAGCAUGAUAAUUUUUUGCUUUUCUUCGAGGAAACGAAUUUAUUUUAAUACUUUUGAUUGAAUGGUGACCACUUUUCUUUUUCUGUUUUCGUGUACAUUAAGAUUGACUAUGAGAAGAAAGGGCAAGUUUGGACAAAGAUGUUGCACAGUUCCCUUGAUGAUUGGCAUAUCAAUUUAGAUACUAUUAUCCAGUGGUCUCCAUUCUCUAGUGAACAAGAGCUUCUUCAACAGUCGAUUGUUGUAUCAGUAUAGGUACCGUGACUGUCAUGGUCUCUUGCUGAGACAUUUGACUUGGUGGCAGUGGAGUUGCUGUAUUUUUCAAAGCCGCCUUGGUGGAUGUAGUAUCUUGCACCAAUUAACUUCCAGUAAAAAUGGUGUUUAUACAACAACAUUAUUCCGGCAAGACAAGACAUAAUCAAAGUCUUUUUGGAAGUUCAGAAGAAGCAGCAGCCUCAACUGUGAGAAUUUACCAGGCCAGAGUGGUGAAUCCUGGGCUGUUGGAUUGAUUUGAUCGACGGCUGAGAUUAGUUCUCAGUUCUCAUCUUAAGGGGUGGUUCUGAUCCCGAU